AUUGAACGCUGGCGGCAUGCCUUACACAUGCAAGUCGAACGGCAGCACGGGUGCUUGCACCUGGUGGCGAGUGGCGAACGGGUGAGUAAUACAUCGGAACGUACCUUAUCGUGGGGGAUAACGCAGCGAAAGCUGUGCUAAUACCGCAUACGCCCUGAGGGGGAAAGCGGGGGAUCGAAAGACCUCGCGCGAUUAGAGCGGCCGAUGCCUGAUUAGCUUGUUGGUGGGGUAAAAGCCCACCAAGGCGACGAUCAGUAGCUGGUCUGAGAGGACGCACAGCCAAACGGGGACUGAGAAACGGCCCGGACUCCUACGGGAGGCAGCAGUGGGGAAUUUUGGAGAAUGGGGGCAACCCUGAUCCAGCAAUGCCGCGUGGGUGAAGAAGGCCUUCGGGUUGUAAAGCUCUUUUGUCAGGGAAGAAACACCGGCUCUAACACAGUCCGGGAAUGACGGUACCUGAAGAAUAAGCACCGGCUAACUACGUGCCAGCCGCCGCCGUAA
rnacentral:rRNA from 1 species